UUAAAAGUAAGAGGCAAUGGUGACUGCACAUCAAAACCAAACAUAUCCAAAUGAAUUCUUGACUGCUGCUACAAGGUCACCAACAUUCCAAAUUAUCUAGUCUAGCUCAAGAGAUUUAUGGCAGCUCAAUUAUGAUGAUGAUUGGGAUUCACCUGCAUACAAUUCAAUCCACCAUUUGUCUAGUUACAGCAGCUUGUAUCACAGGGUGCACCAGUCUUGGUAUAAUGGACCAACCUGGCCUACCACAUCCUUCAACCAAAACCAAAUAUGUCUUGCAGCAUGUGGAGAAAACCAACCUGGUUAUGCUGCAUGAACCAUGACCAUACCAAGCCUGUAGUGCCUGCAAAAGACCAUAACUAUAUGUUGCAGAAAACCAUCAAAAAAUGGACAUUGAACAUGCUGCAAAACCACAAGCGCCUUGCAAAUUACCAUGUCCUGAUUGAC
rnacentral:lncRNA from 1 species